UACGUAGGGCGCGAGCGUUGUCCGGAAUUAUUGGGCGUAAAGAGCUCGUAGGCGGCCUGUUGCGUCCGCUGUGAAAUCCCGGGGCUCAACCCUGGGCGUGCAGUGGAUACGGGCAGGCUGGAGGCAGGCAGGGGAGAACGGAAUUCCCGGUGUAGCGGUGAAAUGCGCAGAUAUCGGAAGGAACGCCGGUGGCGAAAGCGACGUGCUGGACCUCUUCUGACGCUGAGGCGCGAAAGCCAGGGGAGCAAACGGG
rnacentral:rRNA from 1 species